AAAAGAAGAUCAAGAAGAGCUUCAGAAUGAAGCUUUCUUGAUGGAGGGGAGCGGCAGACGGGUGAGUAACACGUGGGAACAUACCCAUCUCUGCGGAACAACUCCGGGAAACUGGAGCUAAUACCGCAUACGCCCUUCGGGAGAAAGAAUUAUCGGAGAUGGAUUGGCCCGCGUUGGAUUGGCUAGUUGGUGGGGUAAAGGCCUACCAAGGCGACGAUCCAUGGCUGGUCUGGGAGAAUGAUCAGCCACAUUGGGACUGAGACACGGCCCAAACGCCUACGGGAGGCAGCAGUGGGGAAUAUUGGACAAUGAGCGCAAGCCUGAUCCAGCCAUGCCGCGUGAGUGAUGAAGGCCUUAGGGUUGUAAAGCUCUUUCACCGAUGAAGAUAAUGACGGUAGUCGGAGAAGAAGCCCCGGCUAACUUCGUGCCAGCCGCCGCCGUAAAAC
rnacentral:rRNA from 1 species